UCCCAUCCAUCUCCUCUGCUCCGAAAACCAAACAACAAGAAAGAGAGAGAGCUCUUUCUCUCACCACCUCUCCUUUCAAUUCCAGUACGGCGGCCGCUCACCGGAUCCCAAGAAGAAAAAACCUCUCCCGUUUCCAUAUUGUGUUCUGCGGUUUUUUUUGGGUUUUUAUUCGGAUUAAUGGGUUUUUUUCAAUUUGCGUGCUGUUUUUCGGAAGUUGUUCUUCAUUUGUGCAAUCUGUGAAGUAAGGUCAGCUUCUCAGUGUAGAUGCCCUUGAGAGAUUGACAGAAGAGAGUGAGCACACGGCGUGAUGUCUGGCAUAACAUGUAUGCAGUCUUCGCCGCGUGCUCACUCCUCUUUCUGUCAGCCUCUUUCUCUUGGGAGUUCACCUUACAUUCAGAUCCACAGGUGGGUUUUUAGAACCAAUUUGAUUCAAUUUCAAUUCAACUGUUCAUAUUUUUCCUCACAACAAAGAAGGUUAAGCCCUGCUUGUAAGAGAGAAACUCAGCCACAAAAGACAGAACACGCAUGCGGCAAGUACUCAGGCUUUUCUCCCACUUUUUACCAUGCUACUUCCUUAUCUCUUAGAUGUGUGCGCACUCUUUGUUUUUUUGCUCUGUUGUUUUGAUCUUUCCAAUCAAGUUGGCUUUGGGAGCUACUACCGAGGUGAGGAUACGGAUGCUAGUGGUAAUUGUAAGGAGCAGCAGCUGUAGGCUUGAAGUACUGGAAUAAAUGAUUGGAUUUGUUACUUGUUUUUCUCAUCCCCAAAAUGUUUUUCUUCUCCUUUUGCAGUGUACUCGCCUUGGGAGCUGGAUCAUGGAGAUGCUGCCGGUUUCGGCCAUGGUGGUGGGGUUUGAUCAAGUUCUUGUUGGGGUAAAAAAGGAGCAUGGAGUAAGCUAAGAGAUGACCCAUAUUUGGCAAGGAAGGUGGCCUCACUUUGCUUUUGCCAGAUCUAGUUUGCAUCUUAGGGAUCCGCUUCCAUUGUGGUGAUGAGGGCUGCUUGGUUAUACUUUGGUUUGUGCCUGGUUUUUGGUCUUAACCGUUACUCACGGCUGACCCUUUUUGCUAUUAUUCUUUUUUUUCCAGGAUAAGGGCAUCAUGAUUUAAUAGCCAACAGAGCUACACAAUAAAUUCGCAGAAGGAACUACUCCUCCCAUGCUUCCUUCUGAGUGUAAGAUGAAGAUAAAAUGAUGGAAGGAUUGCUCGGUAUGCAGUACGUAUCAAGAUGAUGGAAUGAUGUAACAAAAGCAACACGAAGAUCAAGCCCAGCUGGACAAACAUAAUGAUUAGUCUAUGUAUUAAACGAUACUGAAUCCAGACGGAAACACACAAGAUCAAGUAGACAAACAGUAUGGUUGUACGAAUGAGACUUCAAGGAGUGCACUCCUCCAUGCAUUGCUGCCAAGCAGUUGGAUUUCAUUUGCCCCCACUGGGUCAGACAAGAACAACAAUCAGAUGUGGAGGGAUCGACCAGGGAAAAUAUUUGGCAUCAUAUCUCACUGAAAUAUGUUGCCCUCUAUCCUGUACCGCUACACAGUUGGGAGUUCGCCCCACACACACAAGAACAGGCUACUAAAAUACAACUGAAUGAAUUGAACUGCCAUGCUGGAGACGGCGAACAGCACUGUUACUUUGUCCAGAAACAUGUCAAAGUUUUGACAUGAACAUGGGCACUAUUGAGUUUUGAGGCGGCGCACUCCUACUAGGAAGCACCUGCAACAGCAAAUUGAUGGUAGAAUUAGGACCACUGCCUGUGUUUCUUUUUUGGUGGAAGUCAGAAGUGCAAAUCAGAAUGAAACAGAAAGGCUGGCCAUAGAUGUGUGAUAUCUCAACAGAAAUAUACAAUUUAUGUUGUCAGUAUCAAUUAAAUGAUCAUGUGUUUCUUUGCCCCACUUAUCUGAAACUUUGAGAUAUUCGAACUGCAAAGAUCUCUCAUAUGACGACUCUGUAUGUUCAGAUGGUUUAUAUAUAGUUCCGUGGAUUGUAAUUGUACCUUGGUGUCAGAAGGCUUCCGAAUGAACCCCUUAUCUUGAAGGGAUCUCACUGCUUCAUGGAGGUAUUCAUGUACAGGUGUGAACUUCAUGCCAAGGUCCUUGAGAGGCUGGUUUGUGAACUUGUAACCCUUCUUUGGUGGAUUCACCUCAUCUUUGCAUCUGUACAAUUCAGUUAGUGAAGGAUUAGAUUGGUCACUAUCGAAAGAUGCCGCCUAAUUAUGUCACUGCUUUGCGUUGAGAGGUUUCAAAAGCUGGGGACGCACUUAUGUCAUGUGCUGAAAAGUUGAAAGCAAAGUUGGUGGUUGAUGAUUAACUCUCAUCAGAGCAAUUUGCUUUGUCUUCAAGGCAAAUGGAAGCGAGGCUAUUGCUUUCAACUUUCAGACAGCGGGAAACCACUUCUGUUCUAUCAACCGGACAGAUGCAAUAGCAUUUGUGGAAAGAAUUAUUCUUAAUUUAGU